GGGGGCGACCUGGUUUCGACAGGGGUUGCAAAGCAGCGCAGGGCAUACCGAGGACUGGUUACCUCGUAAAUCCAUCCAGAAGCAGACAACUGCAAACGACUCAAAUCACGCUCCAGAGUUCAAACUCGCUGCGUGACACCCCUAGGCGCUUAAAAACCGCCUAGCUCCGCACCGUCUCUUCCUUGGGGCGGGCUGGCAACAGCAGCGGAGUCAUACACAAGGAAUCGCGCUAACCCGGGUGGCUUGGGAUAGCGUUAAACAAUAGGUCACUCGCCUCACCGCAGCGUGUCCGUCCGCGGCGACCGGGGUUAAAUCAAAUGGCGAGGCUAAGUAUGUAGAACUGUCUGUAGAGUACCUUUGGACGCGGGUUCGAUUCCCGCCGCCUCCACCA
rnacentral:tmRNA from 1 species